rnacentral:rRNA from 1 species
UACGUAGGGGCCGAGCGUUGUCCGGAGUUAUUGGGCGUAAAGCGCGCGCAGGCGGCCUCGCGCGCCCGACGUGAAAGCCCCCGGCUUAACCGGGGAGGGUCGUUGGGGACGGCGGGGCUUGAGGGCGGGAGAGGUCGGUGGAAUUCCCGGUGUAGUGGUGAAAUGCGUAGAUAUGACUCGGAAGGCCAAAGGCGAAGGCAGGUUACUGGUACGCAACUGACGCUGAGGCACGAAAGCGUGGGGAGCAAACAGG